UAUUGGAUAGCUCAGUCGGUAGAGCAUGAAACUCUUAAUCUCAGGGUUGUGGGUUCAAGUCCCAUGUUGAGUAA